UGUCUGGCUGAGUGUCG
rnacentral:rRNA from 1 species